rnacentral:lncRNA from 1 species
CCCCUUUGUGAGGCCCGGGAUGGGAGGUGCCCGGUUCCCCCAGGGACAGCUUCAAGCGGUAGGGACAGACAUCUGAGGACCCAGCCUCAGGGAUGCUGUCCCCGGGCUUCCAGGCUCCAGCGCCGUAGGACUGAGGCAGACUCCACGGUGAGAAAGAGACCCGAUCUAACCCAGGCCUUUCAUCAGAGCCCAGGAGGGAAGGCAGGAAGUGGGACCACGAGGCCCGGGGGGCUUCUAACUCGUCUGGCCAGGGAGAUCUGAAUUGGGGUGAAGAGCAGAAUCUCCAGAACAAGGAGGAGGUGGUGAUCAUGGAGACAGAUUUGGCUGAAAUGCCUGAGAAAGGAGCUCUGUCUUCCCAGGAUUCUCCCCAUUUCCAAGAGAAGAGCACAGAAGAGGGAGAAGUGGCUGCUCUGCGCCUCACGGCCAGAUCCCAGGAAACAGUGACAUUCAAGGAUGUGGCCAUGGACUUUACACCAGAGGAGUGGGGGAAGCUGGAUCCUGCACAAAGGGAUGUGAUGCUGGAGAACUAUAGGAACCUAGUCUCACUUUGGCUUCCAGUUUCCAAACCUGAGAGCUACAACUUGGAGAAUGGAAAAGAACCAUUGAAGCUUGAGAGAAAAGCCCCCAAAAGCAGCUAUUCAGACAUGGAGACUAGACCACAGAGCAAGGAUUCAACUUCAGUGCAAGAUUUUUCCAAAGCAGAAUCAUGCAAAGUUGCAAUAAUAGACAGACUGACACGGAAUAGUGUCUAUGACUCUAACUUGGAAGCAGCCCUUGAAUGUGAAAAUUGGUUAGAGAAUCAGCAAGGAAAUCAGGAGAGACAUUUGAGAGAAAUGUUCACUCACAUGAAUUCACUCUCUGAGGAAACAGACCAUAAGCAUGAUGUAUACUGGAAAAGCUUCAAUCAGAAAUCUGUCCUUAUCACUGAAGACAGAGUUCCCAAAGGAUCUUAUGCCUUCCAUACACUUGAAAAAAGCUUGAAACAAAAAUCAAACUUAAUGAAAAAGCAGAGAACUUAUAAAGAGAAAAAACCUCAUAAAUGUAAUGAUUGUGGUGAACUCUUCACCUACCAUUCAGUGCUUAUUCGACACCAGAGAGUCCAUACUGGAGAGAAACCCUAUACCUGCAAUGAAUGUGGGAAAUCUUUUAGCCACAGAGCUAAUUUAACUAAACACCAGAGAACUCAUACUAGAAUUCUCUUUGAAUGCAGUGAAUGCAAGAAAACCUUCACAGAAAGCUCAUCCCUUGCAACACAUCAGAGAAUUCACGUUGGAGAGAGACCUUAUGAAUGCAAUGAAUGUGGGAAAGGUUUUAAUCGAAGUACACAUCUUGUGCAGCAUCAGUUGAUUCAUACUGGAGUGAAGCCUUAUGAAUGUAAUGAAUGUGAUAAAGCUUUUAUUCAUUCAUCAGCACUCAUUAAACAUCAAAGAACUCAUACUGGAGAGAAACCUUAUAAAUGUCAAGAAUGUGGGAAAGCCUUUAGCCAUUGCUCAUCCCUAACUAAGCAUCAGAGAGUUCAUACUGGAGAAAAGCCAUAUGAAUGCAGUGAAUGUGGAAAAACUUUUAGUCAGAGCACACAUCUUGUUCAACAUCAGAGAAUUCACACUGGAGAGAAACCCUAUGAGUGUAAUGAAUGUGGGAAAACCUUCAGCCGGAGCUCCAAUUUUGCUAAACAUCAAAGAAUUCAUAUUGGAAAGAAACCGUACAAAUGUAGCGAGUGUGGAAAAGCCUUCAUUCAUUCAUCAGCUCUCAUUCAACAUCAGAGAACUCAUACCGGAGAGAAACCCUUUAGAUGUAAUGAGUGUGGGAAAAGCUUUAAGUGCAGUUCAUCUCUCAUCAGACAUCAAAGAGUUCACACUGAAGAGCAACCCUGAAAAAUUACUGAAUGUGAAGAAAUAAACUCUGUGGCGAUGGGUGCUGUCCCCAAAUGUAGCCAUUCCACAGCUGGGAAUUGUGGUGUCCACCGUCCUCGACCUGCGACGGGGUCUCCAUGAGCACAGAGGCUGCUCUGGAGUCAAUAGAUCAUCUUUUCCCCAAACCAAACUGCUUGGCUGGCGUUGUUCCUGAAGCGGCUUCACUGGCCAGAAGACAUCCAGUCCCUGACUCCACCUGCCUCCAGGUGCCCAGAACAGCCCAUCGUGGGGACUUCACCCUCAGCAAGUGGACGCCGUUUGUCCUGCCAGGGCAGGAUGGAGAUGGAUGGGGACCCGUAUAACCUGCCUGCCCAGGGGCAAGGCAAUAUCAUCAUUACUAAGUAUGAGCAGGGACACCGAGCUGGGGCAGCAGUGGACUUGGGGCAUGAGCAGGUUGAUGUCAGAAAAUACACCAAUAACCUCGGGAUUGUGCAUGAGAUGGAGCUGCCCCACGUCAGUGCCCUGGAGGUGAAGCAAAGACGCAAGGAAAGUAAACGUACCAACAAGUGGCAAAAGAUGCUUGCAGACUGGACAAAAUAUAGGAGCACCAAGAAGCUGUCUCAAAGAGUAUACAAAGUCAUUCCCCUGGCGGUACGGGGCCGGGCGUGGUCACUUUUGCUAGAUAUUGACAGAAUCAAGUCCCAGAACCCAGGCAAAUAUAAGGUCAUGAAGGAGAAGGGCAAGAGGUCCUCCAGAAUCAUCCACUGCAUCCAGCUAGAUGUCAGCCACACCCUGCAGAAACACAUGAUGUUCAUACAAAGAUUCGGAGUCAAGCAGCAGGAAUUAUGUGACAUCCUCGUGGCCUAUUCUGCAUAUAACCCUGAGGUGGGCUACCACAGGGACCUGAGCCGCAUCACUGCCAUCCUCCUCCUGUGUCUGCCAGAGGAAGAUGCUUUCUGGGCGCUUACCCAGUUGCUCGCUGUAUUCUACAGCCCAAAUACUGCCUGGCUCGAGAGGCUCCUAUCGCACCAGGAGCAGGUGCUGCACAAGUCCUUCCCAAAGAUCAUGAGACACCUGGGCAAGGAAGGGCUGUGCAUUGAGGGUUCCAUGCUGACGAGGCUCCUCCGGUGUUUCCUUGAUGGGAAAUCCUUCGGGCUCACCCUGAGACUGUGGGAUGUGUUCAUCUUGGAGGGCGCGCGGGUACUGACAGCCAUGGUGCAUGCAUCAUUCAAAAUACACAGGAAGCACCUCAUGAAGCUUUCCUGGAGCACUGUCUGGGAGUUUCAGGAGCGACUCUCUCAGAGCUGGGCCCUGGAGGACAACGCGGUCCUCAGGAACCUUCAAACCUCUAUGAAGGAACUCACAAAAAAACACUGGGACCUGCCACCCCCAGGGAGCUUGCUACAAAAUGCACAUUGCUAUACCAUAGCCUGGGGCUUGCAAUCCAAGGCUGGCAAGGAUUCCUGCACGUCAAGGGCCUCAGGUGACUUUCAUGCACACCCAAGUCAGAAGGCUCUCCUGAAUCCUGGAUGUCACCUUCCUGCCCAAAAAAGGAGGAACGAGGGUCAACCAGCAGCAGACCAGUCACAAAAAGAGAUGAAAUAUUGUUCACUGUUGGCAUAGAGGAAUACUACUGAUUUUCGUAUGUUAAUUUUGUAUCCUGCAACUUAACUAAAUUUGUUUAACUAUUC